rnacentral:rRNA from 1 species
UCGAGAAUCUUCGGCAAUGGGCGAAAGCCUGACCGAGCGACGCCGCGUGGAGGACGAAGGCCUUCGGGUUGUAAACUCCUGUCGAGGGGGAACAAGAUGCGGUGCAGAGCCGUGUUUGAGUGAUCCCUGGAGGAAGCACGGGCUAAGUUCGUGCCAGCAGCCGCGGUAAGACGAACCGUGCGAACGUUAUUCGGAAUCACUGGGCUUAAAGCGCGUGUAGGUGGCUUGGCACGUCUCUCGCUGAAAUCCCCUGGCUCAACCAGGGAAGUGGCGGGGAUACGACCAAGCUUGAGGGGGGUAGGGGGGACGGGAACUCACGGUGGAGCGGUGAAAUGCGUUGAGAUCGUGAGGAACGCCCGCGGCGAAAGCGCGUCCCUGGACCCCACCUGACACUGAGACGCGAAAGCCAGGGGAGCGAACGGGAUUAGAUACCCCCGUAGUCC